UACGUAGGGUGCAAGCGUUCAUCGGAAUUACUGGGCGUAAAGCGUGCGCAGGCGGUUUUGUAAGACUGUCGUGAAAGCCCCGGGCUCAACCUGGGAAUUGCAUUCGAGACUGAAUAGCUAGGGUACGGUAGAGGGAAGUGGAAUUUCCGGUGUAGCGGUGAAAUGCGUAGAUAUCGGAAGGAACAUCAGUGGCGAAAGCGACUUCCUGGACCAGUACCGACGUUCAGGCACGAAAGCGUGGGGAGCAAACAGG
rnacentral:rRNA from 1 species